rnacentral:misc_RNA from 2 species
AACGCACAUUGCGCCCCCUGGUAUUCCGGGGGGCAUGCCCGUUCGAGCGUCAUUACACCACUCCAGCCUCGCUGGGUAUUGGGCGUCUCGCGGAGGAGCAAUCCACCGCGCGCCUCAAAGUCUCCGGCUGAGCGGUCUCGUCUCCCAGCGUUGUGGCAUUACGUCUCGCCGCGGAGUUUUCGAGCCCUCACGGCCGUUAAAUCACUUAACAGGUUGACCUCGGAUCGGGUAGGGAUACCCGCUGAACUUAA